rnacentral:rRNA from 1 species
ACUGCAGUCGUGCGAGAAGUCACCUUCGGGUGGCGAGUAAAGCGGCGCACGGGUGAGUAACGCGUGGGUAAUCUGCCUUUAGGUCUGGGACAACUCCGGGAAACUGGAGCUAAUACCGGAUAAGACCACACGGUCCUUCGGGUCCGAGCGGAAAAAGAUGGCCUCUUCUUGAAAGCUAUCGCCUUUAGAUGAGCCCGCGUCCCAUUAGCUUGUUGGUGAGGUAAAGGCUCACCAAGGCUUCGAUGGGUAGCUGGUCUGAGAGGAUGAUCAGUCACACUGGAACUGAGACACGGUCCAGACUCCUACGGGAGGCAGCAGUCGGGAAUUUUGGGCAAUGGGGGAAACCCUGACCCAGCAACGCCGCGUGAGGGAUGAAGGCCUUCGGGUCGUAAACCUCUGUCGGGAGGGAAGAAAGGUCGUUGUGCAAAUAGUGCUUCGGCUUGACGGUACCUCCAAAGGAAGUGCCGGCUAACUCCGUGCCAGCAGCCGCGGUAAUACGGAGGGCACAAGCGUUGUUCGGAAUCAUUGGGCGUAAAGCGGGUGUAGGCGGCUUGACAAGCCGAGUGUGAAAUCCCAGGGCCCAACCCUGGAACUGCAUUCGAAACUGUCUCGCUAGAGUCCCGGAGAGGAUGGCGGAAUUCCCGGUGUAGGGGUGAAAUCCGUAGAUAUCGGGAGGAACACCA